GUGAGUUUUUCAAAGACUAUCAAAAUUGCACGAGUCCGAAGGACGAGUGCAAUUUGAAGUCUUUGAAAAACUCACGAGUGUAUGUUUUUUCAAAUUGCACGAGAAACCAAACUAUUAUACGUACUAGUUAAAACAUGAGCAGCCGAUCUGUAUCUGAUAUACUAACUCGAGCCGAAGGCGAGAGUUUGUAUAUCAGAUAAAGAUCGGAUGCGAAUGUUUUAACGUGCUUAAAAAACGACCCAUCUUAUGAGUUCAUUGGCGAAGUAAUUUUAAAAAUAAACAUUGUCAAAGCCGAGAAAAUCAAAGC